rnacentral:sRNA from 1 species
AUCAAAGUCUCCGUCUCCGUU